rnacentral:rRNA from 1 species
UACGGAGGGGGCUAGCGUUGUUCGGAAUUACUGGGCGUAAAGCGCACGUAGGCGGAUUGUUAAGUCAGGGGUGAAAUCCCGGAGCUCAACUCCGGAACUGCCUUUGAUACUGGCAAUCUUGAGGCUGGAAGAGGUUAGUGGAAUUCCCAGUGUAGAGGUGAAAUUCGUAGAUAUUGGGAAGAACACCAGUGGCGAAGGCGGCUAACUGGUCCAGAUCUGACGCUGAGGUGCGAAAGCGUGGGGAGCAAACAGG